UACGAAAAUUAACCUAUGAAAAUUAACCAUUGAAAAAAAACCUACGAGGGCAGGUACGAGCGAUUCCUCCUGCCCUCGAAUCACUCGCACGCACGAGAAGUUCGCCGCUGUAAUCUGUCCCUACGUCGCCGCCUUCUUGGAUCCAUCGCUGUCGUCACGGAUCCGCCGCCGCCGUCGCCGCGGAACCCCUCGGACGCCUUCGCCUUCAUGGAUCCAUCGUUGUCGUCGCAGAUCCGCCGCCGCGGAACCCAAUGGACGGCUCCGCAGGGUGUCGGCGUGGUCAGAACGCACGGACGGCUCCCGCCUCAGCAGCCUGACCGCAGGGGCGAAGCAACAGCACGCUCAUACAGCAGGGAUCAGCCAUGAACCACAUGUGAUGGCACCGCCGCGAGAUUCCCAAGGGCAGCAAGGUCAUGUACGAGUUGGACAAGAAGGCGAGGCUCAUCAAGGCCGACCGCGUCCUCCACUCCUCCAUGGCCGGCCCACACAACUCAUCCUCCGUCUUCAGCAGCUGUGCAAGAGAGAUCGCGGUGACAAGUGAAAGACAGAGAUGAUUGUACAUCCUUGCUCCUUUUCUUCUUUCAGCAUUACACAUGUAGCAAUACCAUUCUCGCCAUCCAUCCCACAAUGACAAGAGCCUUUCUGGAGCACAAACCAGGGCAAUAUCUUCUGUUUAGAUGUUCAUUUUCAUUUUAAUUCACAACUUUUCCAGAAGGAUCAACCUAACCCGUGAUUUCUGUUUCUUGUUCAGAUCUGCUAUUCGGUAACAUGAUUUGGUGUGAUACUAGCUGUCCGUUAAAAUCUGGUUUAGCUUUCAGUCCCAAUUUUUAUGAUAAAAUAAUAGUCAAUGUUCAGAUGCACUCUUGUGGUCUUUCAUCAAGUUGAAACCCAUUUUGAAGUUUCAAUAUCCCUUGAAUUCUUAAUGAGUGGAUGUUGAGGAGUAGUCAAUGUGUUCCGUUUCAUGUAGGUGGAUGCGGUUAUGGUUAUGGUGGCGUACAUCUGGGGCAUUUAACGGUUUAUGUGUGCAGAUACAAGAGGCAGAUUAAUGGUCAUGUUAAGGAGCAUGUUGAUGUUGCUGAGGUAUGCCCCCCACCUCUUGAGAAUAUUGAUGACACUAUGAUCUCUUGAUGCCAAUUUCUUCAGUUCGUCAAUCACAUAAUUUUUGGUGCAAAAUGCCUGAAACUUAUGACAUGGGUGAAGGUGUUAAUCAAGAAUAGAGAUUCUCCGUAGCAAUGCAGUGAUACAGACAAGCAGAGAUCCUAAGGCCAAAGAUAAAAUGAAUCCUUUUGCUGAACAGGAAGCAUGGGAAGAACAUCAAAUAUGUAAUGUUGUUUACUUGGAUUAACCACAUGCAAUCGGAAAGUCAAACUGGAAUUUGGAUCAGAAGAUAGAAAGCGGUCUUCUAAUGAAUGCCGGUUGUACAAGAGCAGCUCUGAUGCUCGGUGGAGGUCCUGAUGCAGUUGAUCUUGGAAGUUCUGAUGCUUGGUGGAGCCAUUCUUGUAGGCUGAAAUUCUGUAUUUUUCUGCAGGCUGUACAAGAGCAGCUCUAAUGCUCGGUGGAACCAUUCUUGGUUAUUAUCCUGUCAGAGUGCUGCCAUCUAAGACUCCAAUUUUUUCCUUUUCACCCUAAGUUUCUUCCUUGAGUAAGUAAAUUUAGACUACACACGAGAGUGAGGAGACGAAGUUGGAAGGAGAGAGCACAUGGGCAAUUGAGGACUAAAGGAUAACACUUAAUCUUGCUUUUCUAUAUUCUUGGUUCCAAGUACAAAUUACAUUCAGUUCAGGUGCAAGUAGUCUUGAAGUUUCUAUUUCAUUUUUUCUUUCACUUGAUCUUCAGGUUUACAGGGUUAUUAAUUGGAUCCAUGUUUGAGCGACUUUGUAGAAGUGCGUUCAAUUAGCUUUCUGCAUAUUCACAGUUUAGGUUGUUCUGAAAUUCUCUUAUCAAUGCACAUGUUUCCUUUUUUAUUUAGCAUGUGAAGUUCCUUAUUCAACACUGAUUUUUUGGCCAAAUCUGAUGAUACAGAUUCACCAUUGAUAAGAGAAAAAAUUAUUCAAGAAAUCAUUGGUAUGAGAGGCUCCAUUGAUACCUUCAGAAGGCCGCAUCCCAAUGCUGUGGGUUACACUUGGGGUGAAAAUCAGCGGCAUAACAAGAGAGGUGCAUCACUAUAAGUGUGGAUAAAUUAAUUACAUAAAUGCUGCAAUGGUGCAUUUGCUUUUAGAUUCCUGUUGUUAACAUGGUACCAAAAAGGUAUGCGUGCAUGCUUGAAAAAUCUUAACAUUUGUGAAUCUAGCUAUUCAACCAUCCUUGAGUGAUAUAUAUUUCUCUAUACAUUGAAAUACAAUUGAACAACAAGGAGCUUAUAUCAGUGGUGUAUACGCUCCAAAAUUGCGGUAUCUACCUUCCCCAAAUAACAUAAAAAAAUAAGGUUGGGGGUUUACAGGGUUAUUAAUUGGAUCCAUGUUUGAGCGACUUUGUAGAAGUGCGUUCAAUUAGCUUUCUGCAUAUUCACAGUUUAGGUUGUUCCGAAAUUCUCUUAUCAAUGCACAUGUUUCCUUUUUUAUUUAGCAUGUGAAGUUCCUUAUUCAACACUGAUUGUUUGGCCAAAUCUGAUGAUACAGGUUCACCAUUGAUAAGAGAGAAAAUUAUUCAAGAAAUCGUUGAUAUGAGAGGUGUUAGAGUUAUACUAUAAGUCAUGUACUCCUUUGUAUUUAUCCCGUUGUAUAAGGGGUUUCCUGCAUAUGUUCCACACUUGUACAUGUAUAUAUAUAUCGGCGUAUGGCCUCAUGGGAAUACAAGUUGCUUAUUCCUAA